rnacentral:rRNA from 1 species
GAUGAACGCUGGCGGCGUGCCUAAUACAUGCAAGUCGAGCGAACGGACGAGAAGCUUGCUUCUCUGAUGUUAGCGGCGGACGGGUGAGUAACACGUGGAUAACCUACCUAUAAGACUGGGAUAACUUCGGGACACCGGAGCUAAUACCGGAUAAUAUUUUGAACCGCAUGGUUCAAAAGUGAAAGACGGUCUUGCUGUCACUUAUAGAUGGAUCCGCGCUGCAUUAGCUAGUUGGUAAGGUAACGGCUUACCAAGGCAACGAUGCAUAGCCGACCUGAGAGGGUGAUCGGCCACACUGGAACUGAGACACGGUCCAGACUCCUACGGGAGGCAGCAGUAGGGAAUCUUCCGCAAUGGGCGAAAGCCUGACGGAGCAACGCCGCGUGAGUGAUGAAGGUCUUCGGAUCGUAAAACUCUGUUAUUAGGGAAGAACAUAUGUGUAAGCAACUGUGCACAUCUUGACGGUACCUAAUCAGAAAGCCACGGCUAACUACGUG